GAGCCGAGUCGAGCCGAGCCUCUAACGAGCCAAGCCAUAGGCCCCUGACGAGCCGCCUGGCCUAUUUCCACCCCUACCUUUGGAUCACCGACCUGCGUAGAAUUUAGUACUACAUGAAAUUAUGCUUCCUAAUUCCCAAUUUCUCAUCACUCAUUUCUUUCUUGCAUCCAAUGUGAUCUUUCCGCUCUCCUUUUAUUCCUGAGAUCAACCAUUUCUUUUGUGUCGGCCACCGCUUUGUCCUUCAUUCAUUACUCUGGCCUGACACCGCUAUCUCUCUUUCCCCAUCUUAUCCACUAACCCUAAACUCACAUAAACUCAAAUAGUGUUUUCCACCCACCAUUCGAUUGUCUCCUCUCAUCUUAGCUGACUCUAAGCGUCCCUUUCUUCCGUGUCGGCCACCACUAUGUCCUUUAUUCAUUACUCUGGCACCGACACUUCUAUCUCUCUUUUCCCAUCUUAUCCACUAACCCUAAACCCACAUAAACUUAAAUAGUGUUUUCCGUCCACCAUUCGAUUGUCUCCUCUCAUCUUAGCUGACUUUAAGCGCAACUACAUAGUCUCUCUUCUAAAAAAGUUAUACCAACUUUUAUCAUCAUGACGACAACAACCCUAACCUUCACAAUCCUUCUCCCCUUGGGGACUAAAUCUCCAACGUCUCAGGCUUCAAUUCAGUUUCUCUCAUUUCUAGAUUGCAUCUUCCAAGCACGAAAAUGUAUUUUGUAAGCCAAAGAAUUGUAUUCAACUAGCACAAGGGGUGCUUAACCCGAAUACAAAAGAGAAGAAAAGGAGAAGAUAGAUAAAAUACAGACUAGUAAAAAAGAAACCAUCUAACCCACCAACAAGCAUGCCUAUAACCCUCCCUGUUUCAUAUUACAAAGCCAACUAAACCAAAAAUACCAAACACUAACAGCCAGCAAACUCAUCAAGUGUCCACACGACCAAGACCCUCACAAGCACAGAAUUGGAAUCCAAUGUAGCAACAACAUUCGUAGGCCUUUCCACCCAAUUACCUAGCAUUUUUACAGCAACCUCACGUUAGAGAUGGCCCCAACAUGAGAUGGAGAUGAAUUGACAGCGGUCCUACAGAGAAGAGAGGCACUCCAAAGGACAAGAUUUCCACUCAUAAAGAGAAUAAGUAAACCCGCAGAAUUUCGCUUUGAGCCAGUGCCAGGAACGAGAUUGAAUCAGAUCAAGGAGGUAGCUAUGGUCCAAGGCAUUGUUCCUGAAAAUAAUAGAAUUCCGCUGUAUCCAAAGCGACCAAACAGUAGCUAUCCAGAUAGCUAGUUCCCCAAGACGCUGAUUUUUAUUCCUUGCUGUGAUUGAAAACUGGGCAAAAUUGGCCAGAGUUGAAGCCGGUAAAGCCACAGAUAUCCCCAACCAGCGAUGCAGUGCUUGCCACACGCCCAUAGAGAAUACGCAAGUGAAGAAAAGAUGACCGCUACACUCCUCCACCGUAGUGCAAAACGGACAAGUCAAAUCAUCCGGGUUGAAAAGUACUUGCCGACGUCUUAAGUUGUCCCUUGUUUGAAUCCGAUUCAGCAUCAACCGCCACACAAAAGCCCUCACGUUAGAAGGUGCGGGCGCUGACCAGAUUUGUUUAAAGUCACACGCCGGAGUCUCCAGAUGAUUUACCUGCAAAACAGAGUAAGUUGUGUUAACAGAAUAAAUCCCUCCAUCCCCUGGCUCCCACACCCACUUAUCACCCCUCCCCUCUAUCACCCUCCCACAAUUUAUGACUAACUCCAGGUCCUGCAGCCAAGAUAAUUCUCAUCCUCUCAAACAGCGACGCCACUCAAACCUCCACUUCCAGACACCACCCUCCCAAAAACCAAGCUCCUUUAUGCUGCUGUAUUUAUUUAUUGACAAAUUAUACAGCCGGCGAAACCUUGCGGAUAAUAACCCUGAACCAAGCCAAUCCUCAGACCAGAACUUUGUUUGAUCUCCCUCCCCAACCAGCUUUUUCAACCCCGAAGAGAACCAACCAUCAGCAUCUUCCGGACACAAGGACAGAAUGUCAUUCCACCAAGAAGAACCACAAGAAUAGUGAUCAGGUUGAGCUUCAAUUACCCUCCUCCAAAGACUGUCAGGUUCCGUCAAAUACCGCCAUCUCCAUUUCCCAAGCAAGGCUUUGUUAAAAGUAAAAAGAUCCUUGAUCCCCAAACCCCCAAGCUCUUUGGGCUUACAGACGUCCGUCCAUUUCACCUAGGCAAUUUUGUUUUCAUUUUCAGAGCCUCCCCAUAAAAAAUUGCGCAUCAAGCGGACACAGCUUUUGCCAACCCCUAUCGGCAGCUUGAAAAAAGAAAGGAAAAACAGGGGUAAGGCAGUUAGCACGCUUUGUAUUAGGAAAAUCCUACCUCCAAAAGACACUGUUUUUUGCUUCCAUUUAGACAACUUUUUCCUGAUUUUAGCAAUUACUGGUUCCCAUAGCUGUGCUCCUCUCGGUUUCCCACCAACUGGAAUACCCAAGUAUACAAAAGGGAUAGUCAUCAAUUUACAAUUUAACACAGCAGCAAACCUGGCUAAGUUAUUACCCUCCACAGCUAUCCCUGCUAAUCGACUUUUGUGGAAAUUUACUUUCAGACCUGAUGCCAAUUCGAAGCACCUCAGCACACAUUUUACUGUCGCAAUAUUACUCAUAGAUGCCUCUCCCAGAAACACAAUGUCGUCAGCAAACUGUAACAUUGAAAUUUCCAAAGCAUUAUUAUUUCCAAACUUGAAACCCACAUAGCUGCCAUUACUCACUGCUUGGAAAAAUAAUCUGUUAAGUCCUUCCGCGACAAUCAAGAACAAAAAAGGAGCUAAAGGAUCCCCUUGUCGCAACCCUUUCUCCAUAUUAAAUUCCUCGCCUAGGCUUCCGUUCACCAACACAGAUACAGUAGCUGAGCAUAAACAACUUUUGAUCCAAUUAAUCCACUUUCUGCAAAAGUUGAUGCAUCUUAUAUGUGACAUGUCCUUCAUGGUGUAACUACACCGAUUUUCCUUGAAAUUGUUAUUUUUUGUCUUCAUUUCA